CCGUGGCACGAUUUUCCCACAUUCGUCGUCCUUACUAAGGCGUUGCUAGUACGCAGUAUUCGUUCCUCUAAGCAUCUCUCUGGACGUGUUUUAUCUGGACGACGAACGAGUCUAACAACGCUUGCAUCGUUAUAGAUGACGCCAUUCCCGUUCCAGUUUGUACCAGUCAGACACGAGAUCGUAUCGUCCUCGUUAAUUACAGAUUUUCAAGAGUUCUACGAGUUAGAAUAGCAGAGCCUCGAGGUGUAUAAAGUCAGUGUUAGUGAAUAAUACAUCCGUUAAGUAAAUUAUUUUUUAAGGAUUUGUUCAAUAAUUGAAAAAGAAGAAAAAACAUAACCUACAAAACCAUAAUGCGGAAGCUUGGAUUUUUCGAAGAAAAAUGUGUGUAAUACGUAGGCAUAUGUAUGUGUAAGAAGAUCAUUUAUUACGAAUGUACAUCGCCAAAUUCUACAUUCGUGGGAAUGUGUGCGCUGGCUGUGUAUAAAAAUAUGAAUUUUUUCGUCCUCUACAGUCUCAUCGAAAACAGGUAUUUUCUAAGAAAUCAUAUAGGUCAGUAUGCCAGUCCAGUUCUUGGAAUUUAUACAGGCUUUACAUAGGUAUAUAGGUAGUGUCUUAUAUAGAUAUAUAGAUUGUCGUGUCCGAAGGAUAUAUGACACAUGAGGUUUUCGUGAUUUAUACCCACCGUUACAUCCAUUCAAUAUAUUACUUCGCGAUGUAUAUAUUACUUGUUUCUUUUUCUUCUUUUCGAUAGUCGAGCGUUUUCGAUCCAAUUAUUAUUAAAUUAUGAUACACUUCACUUGAAUUGUAAAUGACGUAUUAUUCAAUAUUUAUAGAUAAAAAUUCGACAAAAUAUUAUUUUUUCCAAAUACUUACAAUAAAGUUGUAAACGAUUAGCAAAUUUUUUCUAACGCACAUCUUCCAGUAUAUCAAUCGAUGGCAGAACGCGUGAUUUUUAAGAGACCACGUUCGUAAGUUUGGUCGACCAAUUCGUAUCAUCAAGUUUAAAAGAUAUACACGAAAAUAAAAUCGGCUUCGUAAAGCGCACGGGGAGUUAUUGCGUCAUAUUUUUUUAUGAUGCUCCGAUCAAUAACUUUGCAUUAAUAGUUGCGAUUGCAUUAUAUUCAAUUUUCAUGUACGAGCGUAUAUAUAUAUAUAUGCACAUCCUCCCCCCUACAAUAGAGAGAGAGAAAACUUUUAAUCUUAUUCUAUGCUGAUAUGAUCUUAUAUUUUUCAGAUUCCCAAGAAUUUCACAAACUAAAAAUAACACCAUCGAGAAAUCAAUUUUAUAUACAUACUUCCUCUUCGUAUACGGACAGAUGUUCUUGUUUUAAUACGUAGAGCUAGAUUUUUAAUAGGGAGAAAUUAUUAAUAUUCAGCAUGGAGUCAUCGUAAUGUGUGUAUUUCUGAUAUGAGAAAUUUACCGAACGAGAAUAAAACAAAAAUAAUCGAGCAAAAACAAAAGAGAUCUUUAUUGUUAUACAAUAUUUCGUCAAUUAUAGAUGUACGAAAGCAUUGAUUAAUAUCAAUUUAUCAGAUCAGAUGAAAUUAUAUAAAAUAAUUUUUUAGAGAAAUGCACUAGAAAUUUGCAAAAUGAAAGUUUGCAAUUAAUUUUCUUCUUUCGUUAUUAAUGACCUUUAAAUUUUCGAUUAGUAAACGUUCCAGAUUUUUAUUAUUAAAUAUUUAAAAACGAUAAGUCAAAAAAAUCUACUUAUCUGUUCGUAUUGAAAGUUGGAACAAAUUGAAAAUAAUACUUUUCCUUUGAUAAAUAUUUUUUAAAGGUUACGUAAAUUCAAAGUUAGGUAAAUUCAUUAUAGUAAUCAUUAUUAAUAAUAUAUUUAGCAGCAUAAAAAGGGCUAAUAAAAGAAAUUUAAAAAUUUAAAAGAAAAACAAUGUUAAAUUUAUAUAAAAUAAAGAGAAAUCAAUAUAAAAAGCAAUAAAACGUGACGACGUGGUGGGAAGAGGUCUAUGAAAGAACAGAUAUAAAAUUUUUUAUCAAAACAUGUAUAACGAUUACCUCGCGAUUAUAUGUACUAUUGUUUCAAGAUUAGUUAGAUUUACUCCAUACACACAUACAUUGUCUAAAUGAAUAUAAAAUAAUUGAAAUUAUAAAUUAUUUAAGCUUAA